rnacentral:lncRNA from 1 species
GGGUGGGCGGGGCCGAGCGCUCUGCUGGGACUCGGGCGAGCCGCAGCCUAGAGGAGGGCAAAGCCCGAGCUGGGCAGGAGGCGACGCCAGGGCAGCUGGAGGAGAGACCUCCCCGCCGGGGCGCUGCCCACCUCGUGUCUCCGGGCUCCUCGAGGAAGCAUGCCACUCAUCCUACUUUCCAACAGGUUCCUUAUUGUCUUAGCAGCUUUAUCCUACAGUGAGCCAUUCCCAACCCAACCACCAGAACCCUGGCUGGCUGCUCCCAAGGCAGUGAUUGCUGGCGUAUGUAUGAUGCUCUCUGCGGUGAACUUUUCCCGACCUAAAUGUCAUAACUUCAGGAGAGACUGCACUUUGGAGACUGCGCUGUUGGCUUGUGGCAGAGGGAACAACAGAACACUCGUCGCUUCCUCUGAUCCAGCAAUGCACGCAGAGAACAGGAUAGCCCGAAAGAUGAACACCAUUUGA